ensembl:lncRNA
AAUGGGGGUUUCUCGAAGAGAAAACGCGUGAUUUUCGGGUCAAAUGGGGGAUUCUCGAAGAGAAAACGCGUGAUUUUCGCUUAAAUGGGGGAUUCUCGAAGAGGAAAACGUGUGAUUUUUGCUUAAAUGGGGGAUUCUCAAAAAGAAAACAUGUGAUUUUUGGGUUAAAUGGGGGAUUUCCGAAUAGAAAACGUGUGAUUUUCGGGUUAAAUGGGGGAUUCUCGAAGAGAAAACGCGUGAUUUUCGGUUAAAUGGGUGAUUCUCAAAGAGAAAACGCGUGAUUUUCGUGUUAAAUCGGGGAUUCUCGAAGAGAAAACGCGUGAUUUUCGGGUAAAUGGGGGAUUCUCGAAGAGAAAACGCAUGAUUUUCAGUUAAAUGGCGGAUUUCCAAAGAGAAAACGUGUGAUUUGCAAGUUAAAUGGGUGAUUCUCAAAGAGAAAACGCGUGAUUUUCUCUUAAAUGGGGGAUUGUCAAAGAGAAAACGCGUGAUUUUCGGUCUAAAUGGGGGAUUCUCGAAGAGAAAACGCGUGAUUUU